UACGUAGGGUCCGAGCGUUGUCCGGAAUUAUUGGGCGUAAAGAGCUCGUAGGCGGUUUGUCACGUCUGCUGUGAAAACUGGAGGCUCAACCUCCAGCCUGCAGUGGGUACGGGCAGACUAGAGUGCGGUAGGGGAGAAUGGAAUUCCUGGUGUAGCGGUGGAAUGCGCAGAUAUCAGGAGGAACACCGACGGCGAAGGCAGCACUCUGGGCCGGUACUGACGCUGAGGAGCGAAAGCAUGGGGAGCGAACAGG
rnacentral:rRNA from 1 species